CAGCUGAAUUAAUAUGAGUGUUCCAGUCCUCCAGCGAUUCUUUGGUGGAGAGGAUACAAGACCUGAUUUUCGUCUCAGCAGGGAGGACAUCAGUGAACUCCUGACAGUGCUGGAGAUGGACAGGCAUCAUGGGUAGAGGCCAACUCCGGAAACCCUGGUGAUCCUGUUUUGGUUGGCAACUGGGACAUCCUACAGCUUAGUUUGCAGGGCCUUUGAAUGCCCCUACCAACUGUUCCUAUUGUUAUAUUUAUAAUGUGGUUGCAGCUUGUGCAAUAUUGCACAACAUAUGCAUUGGUGUAGGUGACCUCUUGGAAGAUGGAGAUGUUCCACAGGACAACAAUCAGCCUCUCCGAGGAAAUAAUGAUGACAGCCGGAGCGGAGCAGCAUGGAUCAUGACUACUUUUUUCAGAGAGGAUUGUGGGUAAUUGAAGGCAGCGAAGGAUACGUCUGAUCCAUCCUUCAGAACAGGCAGAAUGAAGGGCGCGAAACAAAGGCUGCCUUCCAGGUCCUUCAGAUUGAGAUGGCCUUCAGCAGCGCUUGAUGACGUCGCAGCCGAGAUUUGCAGCCUUUUAAUGCUGAGAGUACUAGUCUACAAGCCUCAGAAGGACUGGACUAUGAAGGACACAGUCUUCUGUUUGAGAAGCACCCAAAGUUUCUUACGCAGAGCUUUCAAAAUGACAGAGGAGAAGAUGACGUUUCAGCUUACAAGAACAUCGCUGAAUUACUGUAAAUGACGUAAGUAACAGUGCUCAGUUGAAGGUGGUAGUUCACUAUUAGCUAAUCAGUAACUACUGUUUUUUCAUUCCUCCCAGAGAACUACUAAGAACUACUAUAUACAGGUUCAUAAUUAACAUGAAUGAUGCAUAAUGUAUAAUUAAUUCUAAAGUGAAGGUCAUGGUAUCCCACUAGUAAUGACUGAAGUAUUACCAAAUCCUUCAGAAGGAAUUACUAAUUAUUUGGAUCAGUAUUCUGAAGUGAGAAACAUGAUAACUCUGUAGUAACUACUGGAGUCAUUGUAAACUUUUGAGGUUAAUAGUUCAUAGUUAAUUUUACUAGUUACUAGAGUGUUAAUAAUGCAUUACUCAUUUGUUCCUGUGUAGUUAUUCAUUAAUGAAGGAUCAGUAUUAUAAAGUGUUUCCAAUCAGGCAAAUAAGAUCACUGGACAUAAACACUCACUCUAGGACUUGUUUGAUCAUUUUAUGGAAAAAAAAAAAAAAAAAAAAUGUCAAUUGUGAUUUUUAAAGAUCAUACUCACCCCCUUCACUCUGGUUUUGAAAUGCUCACAUCUGGGCGAAGACUCAAAAUUCCUUUGGCCAGAAGUAAUGCGUAUAAAACAUUAUUUGUCCCAAUGGCAGUGAUUAUUAUAAAUCACACUAUUUUCUGAAAUAAUGCAAGAGAACGGUUGGCA